rnacentral:lncRNA from 1 species
UAUACCUCCCUCAGGUUCUAGCCCACGGUCUUCACAUUGCGGACUCUCUGCUGCUCGCUGUUGCCACCGUGAAUUCUGCUACGCUUUUCUGCUGUGAUGGACUGAAGCUGCCCUGACAGUGAUCACAAUAAAUCUCUCCUCUCUCAAGUUAUUUCUGCCAGAUGAACGUGGAAAGGAACACUUUUGAUAAGCAACAAGACACAGAUAGCCUAUCAGAUGUGGGAAUGAAGUGCGGAAAACCCAAAAUCAUUUAGCAAAUGGAUUGAAGCUAGCCAGAAUUUCACCAGUCCAGGGAGAGCACAAAGG